ACUAGUACUGUCAAUACUACUCCAAUCUCCUAUCUCUUUUACAAGCAUCCUCACUGUUUACCUUGUCUCGAAACCUUGGUUCCAGUACUAAGAUCCUUCAUGCUCUCCCUCUCAUCAGUUUCUUGGCUUCCAGUGCUUCCCUGAGAACAGCUGGCCUAUUUUUACUAAGUGGAGGUAUAGCCAAAACUAUUCUUCAAAGCACAGCCCUAAGAGCCUUUUCAGACACUUUCUAAGGUACCAGAAGAACUUCAGACACUUUAGGAGCUCUGACCAUUAGUAAAUGGUUGCUUGCAGGUAUUGAGAGAUACAAGUUUGGCUUUAAUUUCCUUCAGUAUCAAUCAUUUUUUUAUGGCUUUGAACCUCAACCUGGUAUAUGGCUACAGAAGAACUCUGUUGAAAUCGCUUCUGUAUCAAUCUGACCUACUGUAGAAACUUGAAGCAGUGUAGCAACACCAGUAUGUCACUAGACAUGUGCCCAUUUGCAGGUAGCCUGGAUGAACUGCUGUUCUAGCACAACCAUGCAAUAACCCAGUCCCAGUUUGGCAAAUGCACCAUGUUGUGCACAAUGGGAGUGCACCAGCUCUCAUGGUGCUGGCUCCCUUCUCUCUUUCUUGUGAUUUUGGGUGCCGCUCAGACAUGCCCUUUCCUGAUGAAUCUGUAUCACAGUGGGAUUGCUGGCUCUGUCCCCCAACCAUUUUAAGUGCUGGCUUUCUCCCAGCCCUCCUAGAGAUGCUGACAGCCCCAGUGAAGUGGUGGUAUGCAACCCUGCCACCACAGAGCUGUUUGAAAGCAGGGGGCACAAUGCAUUUCUUAUAACACAUUAAUUAUGCUGAGAACUAUACCUGUGCAGAAACCACCUUGUUGGGAAAUCAGCAUGUAACUGCAGGAAGUCCAGAAAUAAACAGGCAGAUUGUUACUCCAGCCUGCAAAAUGGUAGAUUCCUGCCAAAUGGGCUGUGGUUUCCUGCAUGAGCUUGGAACACGCCAGUGACACAAACGUGAAAGGUUUUGUGUCCUUUUUGCAGAAAGGCUGCUUUCUCUCCUCACUUGGAGGGAAGGAAUGACAAGUGGGAAAUGCUCUUGAUAGAUACCAAGUCUAUACUGAACAGUCUGCAUUGAAUGAAAUUUAUUUUUUUUAAAUGUACCCUUGGUCAUGGAAGCUUCCACCAGGAGUAUAUCUGUCUAGUCAUGUCUCAGUGGCUGAAUUGUAUUGUACAUUUUACUGUGGUACUUGUAGAUAUUAAAGUGUCUGUUUAGGAUAAUAUUUUUCAUUGCUGGUUUUAGUGCUUAAAGAUUAAAGUUGUCUAAAAAGGUGUGUUGAAAGUGCCUAGGCAAAAUGGAUGCUUACUUUCACUUGAUUACUCAAAUUCACGUUAUGUAUUUUUAAGACUUGUAUAUUAAUAUGAAAUGAUGAAAACCAUAAAAUCUUCAGUUCACUGAAGUUUGGAAACCUAGAGAUAUCAUUUUACUGGAAUGUUUUCCAGCCUUUGGAACAGGGUUACACAUCUGUGUGCACAGCUGCCUACAUGUCAUAUUCUGGCUUCCAUUCUGAUAUGCUCUUCAGUACCAAUAUAAUGUAGUUCAUUUUAUAAUAAUUUAUCUUUUUGUUUUGUUUUGUUUUUUCUUUAAACCGGUUGAAUUACCAGAACACAUUAUUAUGGCUUUCGUUUCAUUCACUGUUUCAAACUUCAGCCUAUAAAUUAUUCGUAGAAAGGCUUUUCUGUGAGUAUUUGUAAACCAAAUAUAAUGAAAGGAAUUCAGCUCUAGAAAGGAAGGGCUUGAAGGAGAUAGGUGUUAAAUCUAAUUUGCUUUAAAGCUUUAGAUUGCUGUGGUCCUUGAAGUACUUUUAAGAAUCUUAAAGGUCUGUGGUGCAACAGAAAUCCCAGUGGGUAAAAGCACCACUCAGAAUACCUGCUGCAAUGUUGCCCUUGCUAUCAAAACAGCAUGAUGAGUCAAUGAGUAACUGGGAUGUUGGUUUUGGAGAUCUGCCAUUUUAAAGAGGAUGUUAAGUGUAAAUAAUUUAAGAAAGAAUUCAAAUUUUUCAUACACAGUUGCCUAUCAAUAAUGGUAAACAAA